rnacentral:rRNA from 1 species
AACGAACGCUGGCGGCAUGCCUAACACAUGCAAGUCGAACGAGACCUUCGGGUCUAGUGGCGCACGGGUGCGUAACGCGUGGGAACCUGCCCUUAGGUUCGGAAUAACUCCCCGAAAGGGGUGCUAAUACCGGAUAAUGUCUUCGGCCCAAAGAUUUAUCGCCUUUGGAUGGGCCCGCGUUGGAUUAGCUAGUUGGUAGGGUAAAAGCCUACCAAGGCGACGAUCCAUAGCUGGUCUGAGAGGAUGAUCAGCCACACUGGGACUGAGACACGGCCCAGACUCCUACGGGAGGCAGCAGUGGGGAAUAGUGGACAAGGGGCGAAAGCCUGAUCCAGCAAUGCCGCGUGAGUGAUGAAGGCCUUAGGGUUGUAAAGCUCUUUUACCCGGGAUGAUAAUGACAGUACCGGGAGAAUAAGCUCCGGCUAACUCCGUG